rnacentral:rRNA from 1 species
CCGAGCACCCUUGUCUAGUGCCAGCACUUCGGGUGGGAACUCUAAGGAGACUGCCGGUGACAAACCGGAGGAAGGUGGGGAUGACGUCAAGUCAUCAUGGCCCUUAUGGCUUGGGCUACACACGUGCUACAAUGGCCGGUACAGAGGGUUGCAAAAGCGCGAGCUGGAGCUAAUCCCACAAAGCUGGUGUAUUGGAGUCUGCACUCGACUCCAUGAAGUCGGAAUCGNUAUAAUCGCGAAUCAGAUGUCGCCG